rnacentral:lncRNA from 1 species
AUCAUGUCUUUCCUUACAGAGCCCCACAGGCAGCCCCGUGCAGGCCCUGCCAGUGAGUCCAGGGUUUUAUUUCAAGCCGUCCUUCCCCGUCAAGCUCAUCGCCUGCGUUUGGCCACACACUCGCAGCUCUCCGAGCACAGCUGGUUUUUUCCUCUUUGUUUACUCUUUCAACAAAAGCUGGAUUCUAGACCAAGCUGUUAAGUCCUGGAGAUGCAGAAAGGAACAAGACAAACACAGGCUCAGCCCUCCAAAGCUUUCAGUAAUGAUCAAUAAAAGACUUCCAAGCAUAAAAACAGGAGGUAUUUUCAUCAAAUCUUGCCAGCAGAUUACAAGUUCAAGGAGAAAAAGAAAUGAUGCAACGUUUCCAACAAUUAGAGCCAAGUUUUUUGCGUGUUUUUUACAUCAGCGAUGGCGGAUGUCAGAUCACUGUGGCACUGAGUUUCCUCUGGACACACCUGAAAAGUGAUGUAACAGUUUUAUUUCAGAAUGUCAAUAUUAAAUAUGAUGCAAAGAUUUCAAUGUACGAUAAAAAAAUUAAGUGUUAAAGAUGUGAGAGGGAGUAUGUGGAUUUUCAA